rnacentral:rRNA from 1 species
ACAUGCCUACAUCAUAGCGUUAAUGCAACAGAUCCCAUUAGAAACCUGUAGUUAAGCGCACUCAGGAUAGAGUAGUACUGGGAUGGGUGACAACCCUGGAAGUCCUAGUAUUUUACAUGCC